rnacentral:rRNA from 1 species
AGAGUUUGAUCCUGGCUCAGGACGAACGCUGGCGGCGUGCUUAACACAUGCAAGUCGAACGGAAAGGCCUCUUCGGAGGUACUCGAGUGGCGAACGGGUGGGUAACACGUGGGUAAUCUGCCCUGCACUUCGGGAUAAGCCUGGGAAACUGGGUCUAAUACCGAAUAUGACCACGAGGCGCAUGCCAUGUGGUGGAAAGCUUUUGCGGUGUGGGAUGGGCCCGCGGCCUAUCAGCUUGUCGGUGGGGUGACGGCCUACCAAGGCGACGACGGGUAGCCGGCCUGAGAGGGUGUCCGGCCACACUGGGACUGAGAUACGGCCCAGACUCCUACGGGAGGCAGCAGUGGGGAAUAUUGCACAAUGGGCGCAAGCCUGAUGCAGCGACGCCGCGUGGGGGAUGACGGCCUUCGAGUUGUAAACCUCUUUCAGCAGGGACGAAGCGCAAGUGACGGUACCUGCAGAAGAAGCACCGGCCAACUACGUGCCAGCAGCCGCGGUAAUACGUAGGGUGCGAGCGUUGUCCGGAAUUACUGGGCGUAAAGAGCUCGUAGGUGGUUUGUCGCGUUGUUCGUGAAAACCGGGGGCUUAACCCUCGGCGUGCGGGCGAUACGGGCAGACUGGAGUACUGCAGGGGAGACUGGAAUUCCUGGUGUAGCGGUGGAAUGCGCAGAUAUCAGGAGGAACACCGGUGGCGAAGGCGGGUCUCUGGGCAGUAACUGACGCUGAGGAGCGAAAGCGUGGGGAGCGAACAGGAUUAGAUACCCUGGUAGUCC